rnacentral:rRNA from 1 species
UACGUAGGGUCCGAGCGUUAAUCGGAAUUACUGGGCGUAAAGCGUGCGCAGGCGGUUUUGUAAGCCAGAUGUGAAAUCCCCGGGCUUAACCUGGGAAUGGCAUUUGGGACUGCAAGGCUUGAGUGCGGCAGAGGGGGGUGGAAUUCCACGUGUAGCAGUGAAAUGCGUAGAGAUGAUGGAGGAACACCGAUGGCGAAGGCAGCCCCCUGGGUCGACACUGACGCUCAUGCACGAAAGCGUGGGGAGCAAACAGG